rnacentral:lncRNA from 1 species
CAAAUCUUCUGAAAGAUUUUGUUGUAAGUUUGUCUGAAAUUCAUUUCAGUGGACAACCUAACUAAGAGGUCACUGCGUGAUUCUGUGGAGUCAAGCCCACACUCUCUGCAGAGCUUUCUGAUAACAGGAACCUAUAUGGAUAUAUAUAUAUAUAUUUUCAGUUAGAAACAAAUUACAACCUUAGAUUUCAAAACAAUGUAUGCUCUGUAGAAAUAUUUAAGAGCUCACAAACCCUCUGCUUAAAAAGCUCUUCUAUCAGAUGAUCUUCAGUUACUGCAAGUUCUGCAUCCUCCAGCUUGGCUUUAGGGGAAUUCACUUUUUCAAAUUCAGUGUUAAGCACCAAGUUUGACUGACGUGUGUUUUUCCCUAUCCAUGGAGCCCAAAAUUGGUAUGUAGGUGUGACCUUGAAAGGGUUGUCUCUUGCACCUUAAAUAGAAAUGACAUAUAAACAUAACAAAAUAUUUAGUAUAGCAAUCAAACUGAACCUUUUGGAUAUGGUUCCUCAUUAAAAUGGGUGUCUGCAGAUAUCAGAGACUUCAAUAAAAUACUUUCAUUUUUAAUUAUUUACGUUAAUACAUUUUAAAACUGUUUUUUUUAUAAAGGCUAUUAAAGUAAGUUAUUAAAAUCCAAAUACUGUUGGUACGUAAUUAGACACUAUAAAACUGGACCAGCGCAGAGCUAACUAUUAGGUAGGCAUAGUGUAGGUUUCUAACGAUUGUGUACAUUGUUAUUGUUACAGUCUUCUUUAGGUCAAAUAACGAGGUAAUUGAUUAUGAUUGAUGAUUGAUUAUGAACUGAUUUCAAAUGAUAAGGUACUGUAGGGAAAAAAGUCUUCUUCGAUUUCUGUCCACAGGUAAGUAUGAACUUAGUUUGGUCAAAGGGAAAAUUUGCCAAAUUCGACCUUACCUCUGUCUAUCCGAGUUAGGGAUAUCGUGUGGGAAAACACCUGCAGUUGUUGCAAAUCUUCUCCAUGUCUCUGCAGUGCAGCUUGGUGUCUCUGGGCGCUC